UCUGGGCAUGGUGGUGCAUGCCUGUAGUCCCAGCUACUCAGGAGGCCGAGGUGGGAGGAUUGCUUGAGCCCAGGAGUUCAAGGGUGCAGUGAGCUGUGAUUGUGCCACUGCACUCCAGCCUGGGUGACAGAGUGAAACCCUAUCUCAA
rfam:Gorilla gorilla gorilla genomic chromosome, chr13, whole genome shotgun sequence